UACGUAGGUGGCAAGCGUUGUCCGGAAUUAUUGGGCGUAAAGCGCGCGCAGGCGGUCCUUUAAGUCUGAUGUGAAAGCCCACGGCUCAACCGUGGAGGGUCAUUGGAAACUGGGGGACUUGAGUACAGAAGAGAAGAGUGGAAUUCCACGUGUAGCGGUGAAAAUGCGUAGAGAUGUGGAGGAACACCAGUGGCGAAGGCGGCAUCCUGGACCAACACGUGACGCUGAGUGAGCGAAAGCCAGGGGAGCAAACGGG
rnacentral:rRNA from 1 species